rnacentral:rRNA from 1 species
AAUGGCUGCAGUAAUUUGACUGUACAAAGGUAGCAUAAUCAUUAGUUUUUUAAUUAAAAGCUUGUAUGAAGGGUUGGACGAAAUAAAAUCUGUCUCUUUUUAAAAUAAUUAGAAUUUAAUUUUUAAGUUAAAAAGCUUAAAUUUAUAUAAAAGACGAGAAGACCCUAUAGAGUUUAAUAAUUUAAAUUUAUUAAUAAAUUUAGAUUUAUUUAUUUUAUUUUUUUAAGAUUAUUUUAUUGGGGUAAUAGAAAGAUUUAAAAAAUUCUUUUUUAAUAAAAUCAUUAAUUUAUGAAAAUUUUGAUCCAUUAAAUUUUGAAUAUAAGAUUAAAUUACCUUAGGGAUAACAGCGUAAUUUUUUUUAAGAGUUCAUAUCGAUAAAAAAGUUUGCGACCUCGAUGUUGGAUUAAAGAUUAAUUUAGGUGUAGAAGUUUAAAUUUUUGGUCUGUUCGACCAUUGAAUCUUUACAUGAUCUGAGUUCAAACCGGUGUAAGCCAGGUCGGUUUCUAUCU